AUCCUGUUUUAGUAACGUAUAUAAUGUGGAGAAAGAUCAAGAGAACUGUGAAGAAGUACUGUGGAAAAGAACGAUUUGCCAGAACAACUGAUGAGAAGAACAACAGCUUUUGUUGUCAAUGAAGGAUAAAAACAUGUUUCAGGAUGCCGACUACUGCAAGUACAGACAAAAAGGACUAGACAUGACUACUAGCAAAAUUCUACAACUUAUUUUAAAGGUUAAUUGGAUCAUUUGAGCCUAGUUGUUCUCAUUAACUGGCUUGUUCACUGUUGUUACCACUGGAUAGCCUUCAAAUCAUGUUUGCAUUAUUGUUAUUCCAUGUAAGGGGAAACUGUAUACAUUUAUAUAAAAUAUUUAGCAAUCCUUCAAAGAAAAUGGUGCAUAAACUGUGAGGGAGAUAGAAUAGUAAAGGAAGGUGGAGGAAUCGGUCCUCUCAUUUUAACCCAAUGUGUUGGCAUAAAAUGAAGCCCAUUUGUAAGGAUCAACACCACCAAAACUCAAGGACACCUGAAAAUAUCUGAGAAUAGAAGCUGGUUAUUUUCAGGCAUUGCUGGCAAUAUAUAAGAGCAGCGUUAGAUAGAUCUUCAAUCUCAUGCAUAAAAUAUAUGAAACAAUGAAGUCUGCACUUUAGACUUCAGUCAAAUCACAGCUUCAAGUACAUAUACUACCAAUCACAUGUUUAGCAUUAAUGGUAUAUGAUCUGGAUCGUGGUCUCUUUUUCUGCAGAUGCUGUCUGCUUUGCUGUGUGUUUGCAGCAUUUUAAAUUUUUAUUUCAGAUUUCCUGCAUCUGCAAUAUUUUGAAAUGCCACCAAUUAACAACCAAAAAUUCAUAUAUAGAUUGUAUUACUGAAUCUAUAAAUUUUAUUCAUUUUGCCCAGUAUUUUUCUGAGAGAGUCAGAUUGUCACUGUUUACAUCCAUGAUAUGCGAUGUGACCUCGAGAUUAGCUUUGGGUUACAUAUCACUGCCAUUACUGUGUAGAGAUUUAAGCCUCUGUAACACCGCUGAACUAUGCUCCUGCUUCAGUCAUUCAUCGCUGAAUCUUUCGUCCCUGUCUUUGCUACCUCUAGACCUCAUGAUUUCAAUAGACUCCUGUGUGCCCCCCACCCCAUAUUGUGCUACACAAACUUGUGGCCAGCCAAAACUUUGCUUCUUUUGCCCUCACACACUCCAAAUCAAGUUCACCUAUCAUCUCCAUCACAGAUUGGCACUCAUUUAAACGAUGUCUCAAUUUAAAAAUUAUUAGUCUGUUUUCAAAUCUCUGUCUAUUUCCAUAAUAUCCUCAAGGCCAAGAAAUCACAUUGAUAGCUGCCUUUCUCUACAUCUAGUCCCUUAAUCUUCCUUAAACGUAAUCACUCUGCCACUGGCAGCCGAGGUUUGAAAUGACAAGCCCUUAGUUUCAGAAUUUCAUUCCGACCCCUAGCAGCUUCCUACAUAGCUUUUAUCAGAGGAGAUGUUACAAUUUUAAUCAAGCUCUCAAUCAUCAGCCUAAUUUUCCCUGAUGUAGUUUGGUGUCAAAUUUUAUGUUAUAACAAUCCUUAAAGUACUUUGGAUAUGUUGUCACAAUAAUCAUGCUCAAAAAGUUGUUAUUGCAUCAUGGACAUCUAAGUAAUUAAUCAAAUGCAUGAAUGGUUAAACCAGUAUAUGUCUAUUUUAUAUUAUAUUUUAUAUUUCAUUUUAUAUGGUUGCUAUGUAAACAUCUUUGAAAUGACAUACAGUUACCCAGUUCCUGAAAUAUUUUUUUAACAAAGCCAUCAACAUCUUUCUCAUAAACAUGAGAAAAUCUGCAGAUGCUGGAAAUCCAGAACAACACACACAGAAUGCUGGAGGAACUCAGCAGGUCAGGCAGCAGCUAAGGAAAAGAAUAAACAAUCGAUCUUUCAGGCCGAGAACCUUCUUCAGGAACAUCGAUCUCAGAUGACCAAGGUCACCCAAAGCCUCGGAAUAAGUUAAAUAAAACGUUAA